CACCUCCGCCCACACAGCUAAACACCCCCUUGACGAACUCACGACGCGGAUGGGACGGCGGAGGACCCAGCGAGCAUGCGCGACCAUCCCGAGCAUGCUCAGUAGCGCGCGCGGCGCCCCGGAGCUCCGGCCCAGAGCUGCGGCCGACGCGGAGGUUUCGGCGGCUUCUGCGGCAGUGACGGGAAGUGAGGUGGUCCGGUUGGGCAACCGCGGCGGCAGAGACAGAGGCGAAAGGGUCGCUGCGGCGACGACGUCGUCGACCCGGGUGACCGAGGGGCCUGAGCGCCGAGGGCACUCGCCCGCUCGGAAGCCGGAUCCCGAGCCGGGCAGGAUGGAUCAUCACCAGCCGGGGACUGGCCGCUACCAGGUGCUUCACAAUGAAGAGGAUAAUUCAGAAUCAUCUGCUGUAGAGCAACCAUCAACUUCAAACCCAACACCACAAAAUGUGCAGGCUGCUCCUUCAGCAUCUGGACUUGAGACUGACUCUUCUCCUCCACCUUAUAGCAGUAUUACUGUGGAAGUACCUACAACUUCAGAUACAGAAGUUUACAGUGAGUUUUAUCCUGUGCCACCUCCUUACAGUGUUGCUACCUCUCUUCCUACAUAUGAUGAAGCUGAGAAGGCCAAAGCUGCUGCAAUGGCAGCUGCAGCAGCAGAAACAUCUCAAAGAAUUCAAGAGGAAGAGUGUCCAACAAGAGAUGACUUCAGUGAUGCAGACCAGCUCAGAGUGGGUAAUGAUGGGAUUUUCAUGCUGGCGUUUUUCAUGGCAUUUAUUUUCAACUGGCUUGGAUUUUGUUUAUCUUUCUGUAUCACCAAUACCAUAGCUGGAAGGUAUGGUGCCAUCUGUGGAUUUGGCCUUUCACUGAUCAAAUGGAUCCUUAUCGUCAGGUUUUCUGAUUAUUUUACUGGAUAUUUCAAUGGACAGUAUUGGCUUUGGUGGAUAUUUCUUGUACUUGGCCUGCUUCUUUUCUUCAGAGGAUUUGUUAAUUAUCUAAAAGUCAGAAACAUGUCUGAAAGCAUGGCAGCUGCUCAUAGAACAAGGUAUUUCUUCUUAUUAUAGAGCUUUACCAGAAGCAUAGUGAGAUCAGCAAGUACGACAAAAGUUUGCCCAAAGCUCAGAAGAAAUCUGGAGGACUCAGAAUGUGAAAAGUAACAAAUAACCUUGUUGGAAAGAUGAACUCUUCAGAGGAGACCUGCUCUGGCCAUCAAAAGCCACCAACGUGAAAAAGAAAUUACAAGUCUUGCAUGCCCACAGGGUUACUGACCAUCCAAGCUCCUUGUACCUGGUUUACUGAUUGUCAAUCAAGUCAUUGCAACAGCAGUGUGAAAGCAGUGGGUUUACAUCUGCUUUACCCUGCUCCUUCAUUCUCUUCAUUUUCCAGUUGGGAGCCCCAGAGUGACGAACUUCUCAACAAUUGCUUCUAGAGCUGGGCUUAGUGGAAAUGUCAACAGCAACAAUUUAACCACUGUCUCAAAGAUCAUUCAAUGCUACCCACACUAUCCAUCAACAAAACCUUGCCAGGGGAAGCAGGUGCCAUUUUCACAUCUCUGCCUGGUAAAACAACAAAUGGAAAUGGCCAGCUGAAACAGGCACUCCCCUUUACAGUGAUCCAGCUCCCAAAUGCGUGAUCUUGGUUU